GACGUAGGGGGCGAGCGUUGUCCGGAAUUAUUGGGCGUAAAGGGCGCGUAGGCGGUCGUGUGCGUCAGAGGUGAAAUCCCCGGGCUUAACCCGGGAGCUGCCUCUGAUACGGCAUGGCUUGAGUCCGGGAGAGGAGAGCAGAAUUCCCAGUGUAGCGGUGAAAUGCGUAGAUAUUGGGAGGAAUACCGGUGGCGAAGGCGGCUCUCUGGACCGGUACUGACGCUGAUGCGCGAAAGCGUGGGUAGCAAACAGG
rnacentral:rRNA from 1 species